rnacentral:rRNA from 1 species
UACGGAGGAUGCGAGCGUUAUCCGGAUUUAUUGGGUUUAAAGGGUGCGCAGGCGGCGUGUCAAGUCAGCGGUAAAAUGUCGGGGCUCAACCCCGACCGGCCGUUGAAACUGGCGUGCUCGAGUUGGAGAGAAGUAUGCGGAAUUCGUGGUGUAGCGGUGAAAUGCAUAGAUAUCACGAAGAACCCCGAUUGCGAAGGCAGCAUACCGGCUCCACACUGACGCUGAGGCACGAAAGCGUGGGUAUCGAACAGG